rnacentral:rRNA from 1 species
GAUGAACGCUGGCGGCGUGCCUAACACAUGCAAGUCGAACGGAGAUUACGGACGGAAGUUUUCGGAUGGAAGACUGUAAUUCUUAGUGGCGGACGGGUGAGUAACGCGUGGGCAACCUGCCCUAUACAGGGGGAUAGCAGCUGGAAACGGCUGGUAAGACCGCAUAAGUCGGCGAGACCGCAUGGUUUUGCCGGGAAAUGAGCAAUCAGGUAUAGGAUGGGCCCGCGUCCGAUUAGCCAGUUGGCAGGGUAAAAGCCUACCAAAGCAACGAUCGGUAGCCGGACUGAGAGGUCGGACGGCCACAUUGGGACUGAGACACGGCCCAAACUCCUACGGGAGGCAGCAGUGGGGGAUAUUGCACAAUGGAGGAAACUCUGAUGCAGCGACGCCGCGUGAGUGAAGAAGUAUUUCGGCAUGUAAAGCUCUAUCAGCAGGGAAGAUGAUGACGGUACCUGACUAAGAAGCCCCGGCUAACUACGUG